rnacentral:rRNA from 1 species
CCUACGGGCGACAGCAGUGAGGAAUAUUGGUCAAUGGACGAGAGUCUGAACCAGCCAAGUAGCGUGAAGGAUGACUGCCCUAUGGGUUGUAAACUUCUUUUAUAUGGGAAUAAAAUGUUCCACGUGUGGGAUUUUGUAUGUACCCUAUGAAUAAGGAUCGGCUAACUCCGUGCCAGCAGCCGCGGUAAUACGGAGGAUCCGAGCGUUAUCCGGAUUUAUUGGGUUUAAAGGGAGCGUAGGUGGAUUGUUAAGUCAGUUGUGAAAGUUUGCGGCUCAACCGUAAAAUUGCAGUUGAAACUGGCAGUCUUGAGUACAGUAGAGGUGGGCGGAAUGCGUGGUGUAGCGGUGAAAUGCUUAGAUAUCACGAAGAACUCCGAUUGCGAAGGCAGUUCACUGGACUGCAACUGACACUGAGGCUCGAAAGUGUGGGUAUCAAACAGGAUUAGAUACCCGAGUAGUC